CCUACGGGCGGCAGCAGUGAGGAAUAUUGCACAAUGGGCGAAAGCCUGAUGCAGCGACGCCGCGUGAGUGCAGAUGUACUUCGUUAUGUAAAGCUCUAUCAGCAGGGAAGAAAAUGACGGUACCUGAGCAAGAAGCCCCGGCGAACUACGUGCCAGCAGCCGCGGUACUACGGAGGGGGCAAGCGUUAUCCGGAUUUACUGGGUGUAAAGGGAGCGUAGACGGCAGUGCAAGUCAGGAGUGAAAGGCGGGGGCUCAACCCCCGGACUGCUCUUGAAACUGGACGGCUGGAGUGCAGGAGAGGUAGGUGGAAUGCGUAGUGUAGCGGUGAAAUGCGUAGAUAUUAGGAAGAACACCGGUGGCGAAGGCAGCUUACUGGACUGUAACUGACGUUGAGGCUCGAAAGCGUGGGGAGCAAACAGGAUUAAAUACCCUAGUAGUC
rnacentral:rRNA from 1 species